rnacentral:piRNA from 1 species
UGAGAGGGAAAGCAAGUGCCCCUGAGUC